CGCGUAGGCGGCUUUAUAAGUCAGAUGUGAAAGUCCAUGGCUCAACUGUGGAAGUGCAUUUGAAACUGUGAAGCUUGAGUAUCGGAGGGGAGUGUGGAAUUCCCGGUGUAGAGGUGAAAUUCGUAGAGAUCGGGAGGAACACCGGUGGCGAAGGCGACACUCUGGACGAAUACUGACGCUGAGGCGCGAAAGCGUGGGGAGCAAACA
rnacentral:rRNA from 1 species